CAGCCGCCGCGGGAAUACGGAGGGCGCGAGCGUUACCCGGAUUUACUGGGCGCAAAGGGCGUGUAGGCGGCCUGGGGCGUCCCAUGUGAAAGGCCACGGCUCAACCGUGGAGGAGCGUGGGAUACGCUCAGGCUAGAGGGUGGGAGAGGGUGGCGGAAUUCCCGGAGUAGCGGUGAAAUGCGCAGAUACCGGGAGGAACGCCGAUGGCGAAGGCAGCCACCUGGUCCACUUCUGACGCUGAGGCGCGAAAGCGUGGGGAGCAAACCGGAUUAGAUACCCCGGUAGUCCCUGUCUCUUAUAC
rnacentral:rRNA from 1 species